GUGCUUGCUUCGGGAGCACAGCUACUAAAAUUGGAACGAUACAGAGAAGAUUCGCAUGGCCCCUGUGCAAGGAAGACACGUAAAUUCAUGAAGUGCGCCCUAAAAAA